CUAGAGAUUAGAGUUUGAUCAUGGCUCAGAUUGAACGCUGGCGGCAGGCCUAACACAUGCAAGUCGAGCGGAUGAAGAGAGCUUGCUCUCUGAUUCAGCGGCGGACGGGUGAGUAAUGCCUAGGAAUCUGCCUGAUAGUGGGGGACAACGUUUCGAAAGGAACGCUAAUACCGCAUACGUCCUACGGGAGAAAGCAGGGGACCUUCGGGCCUUGCGCUAUCAGAUGAGCCUAGGUCGGAUUAGCUAGUUGGUGAGGUAACGGCUCACCAAGGCGACGAUCCGUAACUGGUCUGAGAGGAUGAUCAGUCACACUGGAACUGAGACACGGUCCAGACUCCUACGGGAGGCAGCAGUGGGGAAUACUGGACAAUGGGCGAAAGCCUGAUCCAGCCAUGCCGCGUGUGUGAAGAAGGUCUUCGGAUUGUAAAGCACUUUAAGUUGGGAGGAAGGGCAUUAACCUAAUACGUUAGUGUUUUGACGUUACCGACAGAAUAAGCACCGGCUAACUUCGUGCCAGCAGCCGCGGUAAUACGAAGGGUGCAAGCGUUAAUCGGAAUUACUGGGCGUAAAGCGCGCGUAGGUGGUUUGUUAAGUUGAAUGUGAAAGCCCCGGGCUCAACCUGGGAACUGCAUCCAAAACUGGCAAGCUAGAGUAUGGCAGAGGGUGGUGGAAUUUCCUGUGUAGCGGUGAAAUGCGUAGAUAUAGGAAGGAACACCAGUGGCGAAGGCGACCACCUGGGCUAAUACUGACACUGAGGUGCGAAAGCGUGGGGAGCAAACAGGAUAGAUACCCUGGUAGUCCACGCCGUAAACGAUGUCGACUAGCCGUUGGGAUCCUUUGAGAUCUUAGUGGCGCAGCUAACGCAUUAAGUCGACCGCCUGGGGAGUACUGUCCGCAAGGUUAAAACUCAAAUGAAUUGACGGGGGCCCGCACAAGCUGUGGAGCAUGGUGGUUUAAUUCGAAGCAACGCGAAGAACCUUACCAAGGUCUUGACAUGCAGAGACCUUUCCUGAGAUGGAUUGUGCCUUCCGGAAGCUUUGACACAAGGUGCUGCAUGUCUGUCUCGUCAGGCUUCUGUCCUGUGAUAAGUUGGAUUUAGGUUCCGUUAACUGAGCGCUACCUUGCCAUUAGUUACAUUCCGUUUUAUGGUGGUCCAUCUAUGGGAU
rnacentral:rRNA from 1 species